rnacentral:rRNA from 1 species
AUUCCAGCUCCAAUAGCGUAUAUUAAAGUUGUUGCAGUUAAAAAGCUCGUAGUCGGAUUUCGGGGCCUGCCGAGCGGUCUGCCGAUGGGUAUGCACUGUUCGGCGCGUCCUUCUUUCCGGAGACUAAUUCUACUCUUAACUGAGCGGAAUUGGGAGACGGAUCGUUUACUUUGAAAAAAUCAGAGUGUUUCAAGCAGGCAGCUCGCUCUUGCAUGGAUUAGCAUGGGAUAAUGAAAUAGGACUUUGGUGCUAUUUUGUUGGUUUACGGGACCGAAGUAAUGAUUAACAGGGACAGUUGGGGCCGUUUAUAUUUCGUUGUCAGAGGUGAAAUUCUUGGAUUUACGAAAGAUAAACUUCUGCGAAAGCAUUCGGCAAGGAUGUGUUCAUUG